rnacentral:rRNA from 1 species
CCUACGGGGGGCAGCAGUGAGGAAUAUUGGUCAAUGGUCGGGAGACUGAACCAGCCAAGCCGCGUGAGGGAUGAAGGUCCAGAGUAUCGUAAACCUCUUUUGUCAGGGAACAAAGGCGGGGACGUGUCCCCGGAUGAGUGUACCUGAAGAAAAAGCAUCGGCUAACUCCGUGCCAGCAGCCGCGGUAAUACGGAGGAUGCGAGCGUUAUCCGGAUUUAUUGGGGUUAAGGGGUGCGCAGGCGGUCUGUUAAGUCAGCGGUCAAAGCCCGGGGCUCAACCCCGGCCCGCCGUUGAAACUGGCAGGCUCGAGUUGGAGAGAAGUAUGCGGAAUGCGCGGUGUAGCGGUGAAAUGCAGAGAUAUCGCGAAGAACUCCGAUGGCGAAGGCAGCAUGCCGGCUCCACACUGACGCUGAGGCACGAAAGCGUGGGUAUCGAACAGGAUUAGAUACCCUAGUAGUC